rnacentral:misc_RNA from 1 species
AAGUCGUAACAAGGUUUCCGUAGGUGAACCUGCGGAAGGAUCAUUACUAAGUUUUAAACAACUUACCCAAACAUUGUGAACUGUUUACCCCUCUUAGGAUUUCUAUUCUGAGAGGGCCCCUUUAUUCACCAAACCUAUGUUUAUAUAUGAUUUACUUUUUGAAUACCUAAAUUCAAAUAAAACUUUCAGCAACGGAUCUCUAGGCUCUU